CAAAUGCAGAGAGAGAAAUUCCAACGCAAACCAAACGGCACCAAUGGCCACAUGCCUCUCCCCCUCCCGCCUCCUCAUCCUCCCACCCGCCGUCGCCUUCACCACCACUCCUCUCCGGCUACGGCACCCGGAAAACAGCCUCGCCGCCUCUUACCGUAGGUGUAGGCCGCGCCUCUCUGUCGCGGCACAGGCGGCGCCGAGCGCCCCGGCGGCGGCGGGGGAGGAGAGGGACGCCUCCGGGCUGCCGCCGGCCGAGGCGCAGAGGCUAGUGGAGUUCCUGAUGGCCGACCUUCCGCACCUGUUCGAUGACGUCGGCAUCGACCGCUCCGCGUACGACGACCGCGUCCGCUUCCGCGACCCCAUCACCCGCUACGACGACAUCGACGGCUACCUCGCCAACAUCCGCCUCCUCAAGCUCGUCUUCCGUCCUGACUUCUACCUGCACGAGGCCAAGCAGACAGGGCCCUAUGCGAUUACCACGAGGUGGACCAUGGUGAUGAAGUUUUCUCUCUUGCCAUGGAAUCCGGAGCUGGUCUUCACCGGGUUAUCAAUCAUGGGCGUCAACCCCAAGAACCUCAAGUUCAACAGCCAUGUGGAUAUUUGGGAUUCAAUACAGAACAACGAGUACUUCUCCAUUGAAGGGUUACAAGAUGUUUUCAAGCAGCUACGAUAUUACAAGACCCCAGAUAUAGAAACACCUAGUUACCUGAUUCUGAAAAGGACUGCGAAUUAUGAGGUCAGGAGGUAUCCACCAUUUUCAGUUGUCGAAGCAAAAGGAGAAAAACUAACAGGAUCAUCAGGUUUUAAUAAUGUUACUGGGUAUAUAUUUGGCAAGAAUGCUUCAUCUGAAAAGAUUCCAAUGACUACACCUGUCUUCACUCAGGCUUCUGAUGACAAGCUCUCAGAUGUAUCCAUCCAGAUAGCUCUGCCAAUGAACAAAGACUUGAACAGUUUGCCAGCUCCAAAUACAGAAGCAGUUACCUUGCGAAAGGUAGAAGGAGGCGUUGCUGCCGUGAAAAAAUUCAGUGGGCGACCAGAAGAAGAAAUUGUGGUACGAAAAGAGAAGGAGCUACGCUCGCAGAUACUUAAAGAUGGGUUUAAGCCUGAACAAGGCUGUUUGCUUGCACGUUACAAUGAUCCUAGGACAAAAAGCUUUGUGAUGAGGAACGAGGUGCUUAUAUGGCUAAACGACUUCACGCUGGAGUAGUAAUACUCUGUACUCUGUACUCUACAUGUACAACAAGUUUCUGCAACAUCAGACACUGUAUGCUCGAGCUUUCAGAGAAUCCUAGAAAGGAGAAUGCGCGUUGACAUGAGCGGAUGAAAUGUGCAGAAGAUGUAAAAUUUGAAAGCUAAAAUAGGGCGACAUAGUAAAACUGUCGGUCAUAUGAUUCUAUCUGUAUGGCAGAACAGAACUGAAACGGGGAUAUUAUAGGAUGAAAAUAUUUAAGAAACUAUGUAUAUCUGGGAUUAUAUUUUUGGUGGGCUAUUAUAAUUUGGAGUAUAGGACUGGGUUAGUGUGUUUUGGGCUAAGUUUGUUCCGCAGCAACUUGAAAAUAGGAUGUGCUAGAGUCUAACCAGAAUAUAGCGUUCCGUGGUUCAUUGA